rnacentral:rRNA from 1 species
ACGGAGGCAGCAGUGGGGAAUAUUGGACAAUGGGGGGAACCCUGAUCCAGCGACGCCGCGUGAGUGAAGAAGUAUUUCGGUAUGUAAAGCUCUUUAAGCAGGAAAGAAAAUGACGGUACCUGCAGAAUAAGCCCCGGCUAACUACGUGCCAGCAGCCGCGGUAAUACGUAGGGGGCAAGCGUUAUCCGGAUUUACUGGGUGUAAAGGGAGCGUAGACGGCAAUGCAAGUCUGAAGUGAAAGCCCGCGGCUCAACUGCGGGACUGCUUUGGAAACUGUAUGGCUAGAGUGUCGGAGAGGUGAGUGGAAUUCCCAGUGUAGCGGUGAAAUGCGUAGAUAUUGGGAGGAACACCGGAGGCGAAGGCGGCUCACUGGACGAUUACUGACGUUGAGGCUCGAAAGCGUGGGGAGCAAACAGGAUUAGAUACCCUGGUA